AAAAAAGAGAUUUUGCACAUAAAGAAAAUGAUGAAAAAAUAUUUGCUGUAAGGCAAGAAGAAAAUUGACUUGUUCUACACAAAGCAAUCAGCCAUGGAAAGAGGAUGGCAGAGGGAGUAAACUGCAGUUGACCAUGCUUGAAACAUCUCUGUGCCCUAUCCAUUGUGUGUGACAGCAGGAGUUCCCUGCCCAGAAAAUGGACUGCAUCUCUAGCACUGCAGAAAGAUUUAGGAAAAAAAAAUAGUGAUAUAUGGGC
rnacentral:lncRNA from 1 species